rnacentral:rRNA from 1 species
UAAAGACUCCUACGGGAGGCAGCAGUGGGGAAUAUUGCACAAUGGGCGCAAGCCUGAUGCAGCCAUGCCGCGUGUGUGAAGAAGGCCUUCGGGUUGUAAAGCACUUUCAGCGAGGAGGAAAGCUUGAUGGUUAAUACCCAUCAGGUGUGACGUUACUCGCAGAAGAAGGACCGGCUAACUCCGUGCCAGCAGCCGCGGUAAUACGGAGGGUCCGAGCGUUAAUCGGAAUUACUGGGCGGCUAAAGCGUACGCAGGCGGUCAUUUAAGUCAGAUGUGAAAGCCCCGGGCUCAACCUGGGAACUGCAUUUGAAACUGGAUGACUAGAGUGCGACAGAGGGUGGUAGAAUUUCAGGUGUAGCGGUGAAAUGCGUAGAGAUCUGAAGGAAUACCAAUGGCGAAGGCAGCCACCUGGGUCGACACUGACGCUCAUGUACGAAAGCGUGGGUAGCAAACAGGAUUAGAUACCCUGGUAGUCCACGCCGUAAACGAUGUCUACUAGCAGCUUGGCGCUUAAGCGCUGUUUUGCGAAGCUAACGCGAUAAGUAGACCGCCUGGGGAGUACGGCCGCAAGGUUAAAACUCAAAUGAAUUGACGGGGGCCCGCACAAGCGGUGGAGCAUGUGGUUUAAUUCGAUGCAACGCGAAGAACCUUACCAUCUCUUGACAUCCAGAGAAUUUAGUAGAGAUACUUUAGUGCCUUCGGGAACUCCGGUGAGACAGGUGCUGCAUGGCUGUCGUCAGCUCGUGUUGUGAAAUGUUGGGUUAAGUCCCGCAACGAGCGCAACCCUUAUCCUUAGUUGCUAGCAGGUUAUGCUGAGAACUCUAAGGAGACUGCCGGUGACAAACCGGAGGAAGGUGGGGACGAUAGAGUUUUAUCAUGGCCCUUACGAGAUGGGCUACACACGUGCUACAAUGGCAAGUACAAAGGGUUGCAAACUCGCGAGAGUAAGCGGAUCCCAUAAAGCUUGUCGUAGUCCGGAUUGGAGUCUGCAACUCGACUCCAUGAAGUCGGAAUCGCUAGUAAUCGUGGAUCAGAAUGCCACGGUGAAUACGUUCCCGGGCCUUGUACACACCGCCCGUCACACCAUGGGAGUGGGCUGCAAAAGGCAUU